AAAAGAACUUUGAAGAGAGAGUUCAAAAGGGCGUGAAACCGUUUAGAAGUAAACGGGUAAAGCCGCGAGAUAGCUGUAAAAAUCAAUCGAAGGAUUGGGUAAUCGGUUGUUGGACUAUCGUUUUGACGUCCUAUAGCCGACGUUUCACAUAACCUAUCUUUCUUCGACUCAUUUUUUAUGGCGUACUAUCGCAACCGGAGCCAGUUCCGGCUGAAUGGCGUGUUUGAAGACGAAACGAUUUAUCGUCUCGCGACUAGACUCGUCAGGAAGCUGCGUAAUGGGCUCCGUCUCCUAACAUUUAUUAAAUUAUGAUUAGCUCUUAAUGAGCUCGACUUUGUCGACUGGUUGGUCAAUCGAAAGGUUGGUUCUUGCUUGCAGGGACUGACGACACUUGGCUGAUUAGUUCGGCAUCGACUUGGUCGACUAUUAUAAUCAUAAAGGAUUAGCGAUAUUCGCAGCGGCGACUUACCCGACCCGUCUUGAAACACGGACCAAGGAGUCUAACAUAUGUGCGAGUUUGUAGGUUGAAAGAAACCUAAAGGCGAAAUAAAAGUAAAAGCUGCUUUGGUAGCUGAAAUACGAUCCCUGGUCUCUCGGGGCCGGGGCGAAGUAUUGUCCCAUCUGUGCGGUUCGUCCGCUAGGUGGAGAAAGAGCACAACUGUUGGGACCCGAAAGAUGGUGAACUAUGCUUGAGCAGAACGAAGCCAGAGGAAACUCUGGUGGAGGUUCGUAGCGGUUCUGACGUGCAAAUCGAUCGUCAGACUUGAGUAUAGGGGCGAAAGACUAAUCGAACCAUC
rnacentral:rRNA from 1 species